UACAGAGACCUCAAGCGUUAUCCGGAAUCAUUGGGCGUAAAGCGUACCGAUAGGUGGUUUUACAAGUCAGAAGUGAAAUCUCUCAGCUUAACUGGGAGACUGUCUUUUGAAACUGUAAAACUAGAGGGGCAAAGAGGAAGCUGGAACGAACGGUGUAGUAGUGAAAUGCGUUGAUAUCGUUCGGAACACCAAUAGCGUAGGCAGGCUUCUGGGUGCCACCUGACACUGCUAGGACGAGAGCGUGGGGAGCGAAUGGG
rnacentral:rRNA from 1 species